UUAGAGUGUUCAAAGCAGGCAGAUCCAAUUUUCUGCCACCGAAUACAUUAGCAUGGGAUAAUGGAAUAGGACCCUGUCCUCCUAUUUUCAGUUGGUUUUGGCAGCGCGAGGACUAGGGUAAUGAUUAAUAGGGAUAGUUGGGGGCAUUAAUAUUUAAUUGUCAGAGGUGAAAUUCUUGGAUUUAUGAAAGAUUAACUUCUGCGAAAGCAUCUGCCAAGGAUGUUUUCAUUAAUCAAGAACGAAAGUUAGGGGAUCGAAGACGAUCAGAUACCGUCGUAGUCUUAACCAUAAACGAUGCCGACCAGCGAUUAGGAGACGUUGAAUACAAAACACCACCAUCGGUUGCGGUCGUCCUUGGCGUCUCGGUUUC
rnacentral:rRNA from 1 species